rnacentral:rRNA from 1 species
CAGCAGCCGCGGGAAAACGUAGGGUGCGAGCGUUAAUCGGAAUUACUGGGCGUAAGGCGCACGCAGGCGGUUUGUUAAGACAGAUGUGAAAUCCCCGGGCUCAACCUGGGAACUGCAUUUGUGACUGGCAGGCUAGAGUAUGGCAGAGGGGGGUGGAAUUCCGCGUGUAGCAGUGAAAUGCGUAGAUAUGCGGAGGAACACCGAUGGCGAAGGCAGCCCUCUGGGCCAAUACUGACGCUCAUGCACGAAAGCGUGGGGAGCAAACAGGAUUAGAUACCCCUGUAGUCCCUGUCUCUUAUAC